rnacentral:rRNA from 1 species
CAAUAGCGUAUACUAAAGUUGUUGCAGUUAAAAAGCUCGUAGUUGAAUUUCUGGUUGUGAAAGAUGGUCCGUUCCUCAAGGAAUGUGUACUAAUCAUUCAUGGCCAUCCUCGGGGAGAAUGUGUGUUACUUUCAGUAGUCGUGCACAGGAACCCCGUCAUUUACUUGUGAGCAAAAUAGAGUGUUCAAAGACAGGCUUAUGCCGUUGAAUAUAUUAGCAUGGAAUAAUAAGAUAUGACUUUGGUCUAUUUUGUUGGUUUGCUUUCCAAAGUAAUGAUUAAUAGGGAUAGUUGGGGGGUAUUCGUAUUCAAAUUGUUCAGAGGUGAAAUUCUUGGAUUUAUGGAAGACGAACUACUGCGAAAGC